rnacentral:rRNA from 1 species
CGGGUGAGUAAUACAUCGGAACGUACCCAGUAGUGGGGGAUAGCUCGGCGAAAGCCGGAUUAAUACCGCAUACGACCUAUGGGUGAAAGCGGGGGAUCGCAAGACCUCGUGCUAUUGGAGCGGCCGAUGUCGGAUUAGCUUGUUGGUGAGGUAAAAGCUCACCAAGGCGACGAUCCGUAGCUGGUCUGAGAGGACGACCAGCCACACUGGGACUGAGACACGGCCCAG